rnacentral:rRNA from 1 species
GAAUAUUGCACAAUGGGCGCAAGCCUGAUGCAGCGACGCCGCGUGAGGGAUGACGGCCUUCGGGUUGUAAACCUCUUUCAGCAGGGAAGAAGCGCAAGUGACGGUACCUGCAGAAGAAGCACCGGCUAACUACGUGCCAGCCGUCGCGGUAAUACGUAGGGUGCGAGCGUUGUCCGGAAUUAUUGGGCGUAAAGAGCUUGUAGGCGGUUUGUCGCGUCUGCUGUGAAAAUCCGAGGCUCAACCUCGGACUUGCAGUGGGUACGGGCAGACUAGAGUGUGGUAGGGGAGACUGGAAUUCCUGGUGUAGCGGUGAAAUGCGCAGAUAUCAGGAGGAACACCGAUGGCGAAGGCAGGUCUCUGGGCCACUACUGACGCUGAGAAGCGAAAGCAUGGGGAGCGAACAGG